rnacentral:ncRNA from 1 species
CGACCCCAGGUCAGGCGACAUUACCCGCUGAGUUUAAGCAUAUCAAUAAGCAGAGGAAAAGAAACUUACAAGGAUUCCCCUAAUAACGGCAAGCAAACCGGGAAUAACCCAGCCUUAGAAUCGAGCGUCUCUGUCGUCCGAAUUGUAGUAUGAAGAAGCGUUCUCAGCGGCGGAUCGGGCCCAAGUCCCCUGGAAGGGGGCACCGGACAGGGUGAGAUCCCUGUCGUGACCGAACCCUAUCGCACCACGAGGCUUUGUCUACGAGUUGGGUUGUUUGGAAAGCAGCCCAAAACGGGGGGUAAAUUCUAUCCAAGGCUAAAUACUUGCGAGAGAACGAUAGCGAACAACUAUCGCAAGGGAAAGAUGAAAAGAAAUUUGAAAAGAGAGUCAAAGAGUACUUGAAAUUAUCGGGAGGGAAGCGGAUGGGGGCCGGCGAUGCGCCCCGAUAGGAUGUGGAAAGGUGACGAGUCGGUCCGCCGAUUGACUCGGGGCGUGGACCAACGUGGAUUGGUGGGGAGGACAAAUCCCGGGCUCUCAAUACGACCAUGGAAUCCCGUCUCCCCGAUUGUGGAAGGCAGCGCGCGCCUCCGGUGUGCUUCGGCAUCUGCGCGCUUCAGACGCUGGCUUAUGGGCUCCCCAUUCGACCCGUCUUGAAACACGGACCAAGGAAUCUGACAUGUGUGCGAGUCAACGGUCAAGUAAACCCGUAAGGCGUAAGGAAGCUGAUUGGUGGGACCCCCCUGAGGGGUGCACCACCGACUGACCUUGAUCUUCUGAGAAGGAUUCGAGUGUGAGCAUACCUGUCGGGACCCGAAAGAUGGUGAACUAUGCCUGAGCAGGGUGAAGCCAGAGGAAACUCUGGUGGAGUCCCGCAACGAUACUGACGUGCAAAUCGAUCAUCUGACUUGGGUAUUGGGGCGAAAGACUAAUCGAACCGUCUAGUAGCUGGUUUCGUCCGAAGUUUCCCUGAUUAUAGCUGGAGCUCGCGUGCGAGUUCUAUCGGGUAAAGCCAAUGAUUAGAGGCCUCGGCGGCGCAACGCCCUCGACCUACUCUCAAACUUUAAAUAGGUAGGACGGAGAGACGACUUUGUUGAGCCGCGCCACGGAAUCAAGAGCUCCAAGUGGGCCAUUUUUGGUAAGCAGAACUGGUGAUGCAGGAUGAAUCGGAAGCCGGGUUAGAGUGCCAAACUGCGCGCUAAUCUAGAUCCCAUAAAGGGUGUUGGUGAAUUAAGGCAGGAGGACGGUGGUCAUGGAAGUCGAAAUCCUCUAAGGAGUGUGUAACAACUCGCCUGCAGAAUCAACUAGCCCCGAAUAUGGAUGGAGCUUAAGCGCGCGAUGUACACCCGGUCGUCAGGGCAAGUGCCUGGUCCCGAUGAAUAGGAGGGCGCGGCGGGUUGGCCGUCGUCGGGCGUGGCAUGCCAUCAUAGCCCUUGAACAGCACACACGGUCAAACGACGUC